GGAAGCUCUCAGCCUCACCCAGCUGCCUGGCCCUUGGGGCCCCUGGUGCGCAGCUUCCUCUGAGCUGGAACUCUUCCCCUGGAGCGCCGCCCCCAGGCCUUGCUCCCCAGUUUCACGAGCAGGCUCCAGGGAUGACUGAAGACUCCUCCUCCAGCUGUCGGGAACUCCAGCCCACACUUUGCCUGCAACUCAAUCAUGCAGGCUCCAGCUCCCUCAUCCUGGCAUCAAACGUCUGUUUGAUUCAGCUUUUCAUCCAUUUUCCCAAAAUGUGGAUAUAUAUAUAUUGCCUGCUGGCAGUCUUGGGUCGAAGAUCAACAAGGCAGACAGUUCUAGAUGCGCCAGGAGCAGGGGCUGGAUUCAGGGAAAUGCCCGAAGUGUGGAGUUUCCUGGAGGGGAUAUUUUUCUGCUCUUUUUUUAAAAAUAUAAAGCCCUUGUGUUAAGAAUUUAGCACUGUUUAUUUUGAACUAUCAUGAAUAGAUAUUAAAUGUUAUUUAUUAGAAACAUCGAAUAUAAGGAUUUUUAAAAGUAAGCAUUAAACGUGUGAUGAAGCCUAAAA